AGUGAACGCUGGCGGUAGGCCUAACACAUGCCAGUCGAACGGCAGCACAGUAAGAGCUUGCUCUUACGGGUGGCGAGUGGCGGACGGGUGAGGAAUACAUCGGAAUCUACUUUUUCGUGGGGGAUAACGUAGGGAAACUUACGCUAAUACCGCAUACGACCUACGGGUGAAAGCAGGGGAUCUUCGGACCUUGCGCGAUUGAAUGAGCCGAUGUCGGAUUAGCUAGUUGGCGGGGUAAAGGCCCACCAAGGCGACGAUCCGUAGCUGGUCUGAGAGGAUGAUCAGCCACACUGGAACUGGGACACGGUCCAGACUCCUACGGGAGGCAGCAGUGGGGAAUAUUGGACAAUGGGCGGGAGCCUGAUCCAGCCAUACCGCGUGGGUGAAGAAGGCCUUCGGGUUGUAAAGCCCUUUUGUUGGGAAAGAAAAGCAGCAGGUUAAUACCCCGCUGUUCUGACGGUACCCAAAGAAUAAGCACCGGCUAACUUCGUG
rnacentral:rRNA from 1 species